rnacentral:tRNA from 1 species
AAAAAGAUAAGCUAAUUUAAGCUAUUAGGCUCAUACCCUGAAUAUAGAAGUUAUAAUCUUCUUCUUUUUA